GGGGGGCGCCCGCGUCCUGCGCAAGGCUCGUGCCAGGCCCAGUGAGGGCGCUGGUCUCCGAAGGCUUCCCUUCCGGAGCGGGUGGAACGUGAGGGACAGGGACAGUAUCCUCAAGGCGGACUCCUUAAACGAAGCUUAAACUGCCCCCGACGGUCCACCUCAGCCCUCACGUCGUUCAGGGCCUAGGCAGGCUCUAACCCCCGCUGACGCGCAGGGGCUCCUGCUGGGUGGCUGGUGGGCGCCCUGCGGCGAAGCACUUAGCUCCGCGGUGGGGGCCGCACCCCUGGAGAGUCCUCCCCGGAGGCUGAAAGCGUGGCCGGCUGCCAGCCUCUUCUUGAUAGAAAUUACUUGACACAGUCAGCAGGAUCCAAAGUGUCUUACCUCCAUCUCUGGCACUGCCUCAGAAUCAAGUGAGGUACCUACAAGAAUUCAUAGGACUCCGUCUUCUUGGUGGCUUCACAUCAUGGUGGACUAGAACCAUGAACGCAAAAAGCCCUGGACUCAAGUAUGUCUAGCAACAUGACACAGGAGAAACACCCACGUCCAGGAUAGAUACUCCUAAGGACAGUUUCCUACUUCGCUAAGUUGGAUUAGUCCAGCAGCCCUGGAACAAUGAUCACAACCAGGCAUUGGAAAUGUCAGAAAUCACCAGGUUUGGGUCAUUUGACUGUCACUGGGAAAAACAACAGUGAAGGAGAGAAUAAAGCAACAAUGGAAUGGAUGGAGCAUUCCUUCCUCGUCUUCACAACACAACCACACUAUUAAGUUUGUAUCACUAAAGAAGAAAAGUUGGGAGAAAACAUCUGAAAAAGUUUGCUGAUCUGCUAGAUGUCAAGGUGGCUAAUUAAGACAAAUUUGGGCAAUCCAAAAGUUAAAAGUAACGAUCAAGACUUUACGCAUUUAGUGUGAAAGCACAGGUAAAAGGGAAGGAAAAAGAAAUGUUUCAUUUUUUCCCUAUGGAGCAGCAUCAGGAAUGGGUCAAUUUUGAUGACAUACAGAGCAGGCAUGGAACAUGUCACUGUAAAAGAACCUUGAACAAAAGUUUCCUGCUGUUUAUGGAACUGGGGAAGCUGGGAGAUUGCAAAGAGGGAAGCCUAGGAGUGGAAAAAUACAAAGUCAGAAUGGAGAAAAAGGUCUUAAGGCCACAUAAUAGAGAGGUUUAGGGCAGGGUUGCUGAGAACUGCCUCGGUCAAGGCCUCCAGAUAAAGAGGGCUUUGGAAGCAAGUUGCUGGAAAUAUACACUUCUGUAUAAGCACGUCAGGCCCGAGGUGGGGCAGAUAGCCUGGGCUCUUGACUGCAACUUCCAGGAGAGACUGCAAUGCCCUUGCUGUGUGCCAAGUCCGUGUUGGAGAAGGCAGUAUUCCCUCUUGAGGCCUGUUGAGAAAGGCUUUGUAAUUAUCUAUGGUCAAGGCUGAAAGAUCAUACACAGGAGUUGGCCUGGACCCAAACUCGUGAAAGUUAUGGCCACCAGAGAUUAUAUGAUAUCCUGGGAACAAUAAUUAUGUUUCACGUUCUAGGAACAAGUGAAUCACAGACAAGAAGGAGUCAUUUUAUCAUCCCCUACAAUUUGGGAAAUGAUUAAAUGAGGAUGGUCACCAAACUAGUACCCAGAGGAACAUUAUUUUUAUUACAGACUCCAAGAAAAGGCAGUGCUGAUGUAGGAUCUAUCAUAGGAAGCUCCCAAAGAACAGCUGAAAGCUUGAGUAAAAAUAUUCUGUACAUAGGUGAGAUUCUGGGGACCGAACCUUUAAAACAAUUUUGAGGGAGCCUGGGUGGCUCAGUCGGUUAAGCGUCUGGCUUCAGCUCAGGUCAUGAUCUC